UAAUUUUUCAUUUUUAAUAAUAUUUUUAUUUUUAUAUAGUUAUAUGCUACUUAAAGUUAUGAUGUUGAAACUGAAAAUAAUGUAAUUUUCCCAAUGGAACAAAAUAUUAUAAGCACCUAAUGCUUUGUUGCCAGUGUCAAUUAAUGAGGUGCCUGUAUUGAGUACAUGUGAACAUCAAUUCAUAAGUCCAAUAGAUAAUAAAGCUGCUGAACAGUCAUUAGAAGAAAAAAACAAUGUAAAAGAUAAUACAGAUAAUACUUCCAUGACAAUUGAUGAUUCAUCUACUAGUUUACUGUCCAUUACUCUGGAACCAAUUAAGAAAAGAACCUCACAGUGUAUUUUGAUGGAUGUUUGCAAUACUGAAAAUUUUACAAGGGAUGAGCACGGGUUUAUUUUACAAGAAAAAAAGCAGUGUACUGGGGUACUAUGUAAAAAACUCCCAGUAUAUUGGUUUUUUUUCUUUAAAAUGCCUAUUACGACAACGAAAGAGUUAGACGAUCUUUAAGAAAAAAUGCAUAGUAUUGAAAAAUGUUAUAGUAGGAGUGGAUUUGUCUUUCAACAAUGUAUAGGAUAUUUUGAAAAUAAAAGAUAAUAAUAUUUGUUCUGGCUUUCAAGGGUUGGUAAAAGAUCAAGAUUUGCAAGGAAUGAAAGCAAAAAUUGAAGCUAAAACAAAACUAUUAAAAUUUUUAAAAACAAAGCGAGUUUACUCGAGGAUCUUAUGUCCUAAUAUAAGACACUCAGUCUUUGAAAAACUAUUAAUGUUUUUAAAAUAUACUUUUCUAGUUAAAAACGACAUAUUUUUAAAAAAAAAUACAAAUAUUAUUUACUUUUUUUUUCACUAUAAUUAUUUUAAUUGCUUACUUUUUUAGUGACAACAUACAUGUUGAGUUCCGUAUUCUAAAGCAGAAUGUUUUUUGGAGUACUUAGAUAUUUUUUAUAAUUAGAGCGUAUAUUUAUUCUGGUUGAUCAUAUGGUAUACUGUGUGGGCACAACAUUUGUUUCAUAACAUAAAUAUUUUUACUAUAAAACUUUUAUGGUGCCUAUUUUGCAUAUUUCGACAUUUAUAGUUUUGAUUAAUAACAAAAUAAAUUAAUACGUUUACUCGUAGGUGUAAACGUUUUUCCCAGGGAGUUAAUUUUUUUCUUACAUAUUGAAACCACCGACAAAACACAAAUUAUUAUUUAAGUAGGUACCUACCUAGGUAAAUUCUUUUUAUGAUACAUUUUUAAUGUUAAGAGAAUUCCACAUAGACAUUUAUUGUCUCAGUCUUACUAAAAAAAUGAUAUAUUUUGCGAAACAUAGCAAAUUUACUUUAGAGCUUAAAAAUAAGAGUGAA